ACGAGAGCGUAGAGAAAGCUUGCUUUUUCUACAAUCUAGUGGCAAACGGGUGAGUAACGCGUAAACAACCUGCCCUACGGAUGGGGACAACAGCUGGAAACGGCUGCUAAUACCGAAUACGUUCCGAAAGUCGCAUGACUAUCGGAAGAAAGGAUGGCCUCUAUUUAUAAGCUAUCGCCGGAGGAGGGGUUUGCGUCUGAUUAGCUAGUUGGAGGGGUAACGGCCCACCAAGGCGACGAUCAGUAGCCGGUCUGAGAGGAUGAACGGCCACAUUGGAACUGAGACACGGUCCAGACUCCUACGGGAGGCAGCAGUGGGGAAUCUUCCGCAAUGGGCGAAAGCCUGACGGAGCAACGCCGCGUGAGUGAAGACGGCCUUCGGGUUGUAAAGCUCUGUUAUACGGGACGAAUAAUCUUGUGGUUAAUACCCAUGAGAAGUGACGGUACCGUAAGAGAAAGCCACGGCUAACUACGUGCCAGCAGCCGCGGUAAUACGUAGGUGGCAAGCGUUGUCCGGAAUUAUUGGGCGUAAAGGGCGCGCAGGCGGCUUCUUAAGUCUGUCUUAAAAGUGCGGGGCUUAACCCCGUGAUGGGAUGGAAACUGGGAAGCUCAGAGUAUCGGAGAGGAAAGCGGAAUUCCUAGUGUAGCGGUGAAAUGCGUAGAUAUUAGGAGGACACCAGUGGCGAAAGCGGCUUUCUGGACGAAAACUGACGUGAGGCGCGAAAGCAGGGGAGCGACGGGAUUAGAUACCCCGUAGUCUGGCGUAACGAUGGGUAUAGGUGUAGGAGGUAUCGA
rnacentral:rRNA from 1 species